rnacentral:rRNA from 1 species
GAUGAAUGCUGGCGGCGUGCCUAACACAUGCAAGUCGAGCGGUAACAGAUCUAGCUUGCUAGAUGCUGACGAGCGGCGGACGGCUGAGUAACGCGUGGGAACAUACCCCAAAGUGAGGGAUAACCGCCCGAAAGGGUGGCUAAUACCGCAUAUGGUCUUCGGAUUAAAGGAUUUAUCCGCUUUGGGAAUGGCCUGCGUACGAUUAGAUAGUUGGUGGGGUAAUGGCCUACCAAGUCUACGAUUGUUAACUGGUUUGAGAGGAUGAUCAGUCUGACUGGAACUGAGACACGGUCCAGACUCCUACGGGAGGCAGCAGUGAGGAAUCUUCCACAAUGGGCGAAAGCCUGAUGAAGCAACGCCGCGUGCAGGAUGAAGGCCUUCGGGUUGUAAACUGCUUUUAUAAGUGAAGAAUAUGACGGUAACUUAUGAAUAAGCACCGGCUACUACGUGCCAGCAGCCGCCGUA